UGCGUAGGUGGUUUUGUAUGUCGAAUGUGAAAGCCCAUUGCUUAACGAUGGAAGGUCAUUCGAAACUGCAGGACUAGAGUACAGGAGAGGAGAGCGGAAUUCUUGGAGUAGCGGUGAAAUGCGUUGAUAUCAAGAAGAACACCGGAGGCGAAGGCGGCUCUCUAGAAUGAUACUGACACUGAGGCACGAAAGCUGGGGGAGCAAACAGGAUUAGAUACCCUGGUAGUCC
rnacentral:rRNA from 1 species